ensembl:lncRNA
GUCAGAACCGGAACUCCUCACUGAGCUAAGUAGGGUGAUGAGUUUUAAGUGAGCUUUACGUGUUCUAACGCAUACCCAGAUGGUCUAACAGUUUGACUCUGGAGUCAGCGGUGAUAAUGACAGAUUCCAAGACUCUCCGUUCCCCGUGUUCUUGGAUUAUUCCCGUGGUGAUGUGAUCCUGCGCUCAGAAGUUUGGACAGUGGCCUCCUGUUUCCCCAGCUUUCUGACUGGCAGAUGCUAGAGCUGAGCAGCCCCACUUUGCCUACUCUCCUUGGGGCCCUGACAUCCUCCACCUCUUUCAGAGGGGCAACACCAGGCUAAGGCAUCGCUUUUCAUUGUUCCCCGUGGUUCUGCCUCAACCAACCCCGCUGCCAGCUACAGCACUCCAAGGCUCCUCAACCCCUCGCUCCAACUUGUUCAAGGAUUCCUUGCUUCGGAUCCCAGGACAUCUCCAGCCACUCUUCCUUCUGUGUCUAGGAUGUCUACUCUGCAACCUAGUUUAUGUCUACUCUAUGAACCUGAAGUGGCUUCCUGUUGUUUUUGGAUUCAACUCCAAAGUCGUCUUCCACCUCUCACUGGGCCACUGCACCCACUUCAACUGCCUCCCGCCGCACUCAGACCCAUCAUCCUACUUAGUGCCUCCCCAUCUGUCACCAGGCUGUGCUCUCAGCCUGGAAUUUUCUUUCCUCCAAUGUGUCGCUGGAUCGUGUCUAGCAAUUUAUGCUAAUAGGGUAUCUCGCCUCAUGAAAAGCACAUGAUAAAUAUGUGUAGACUGACUGAUUCAAAUUUUAAAAUGUGGAAGUUACUGAUGGGUUGAAAUAAUCCAUGAUGGGCACCUACUGUGACUCUAGCACUGAACCAAACCCUGGGAUCUGAGUGAAUCGCAAGCCACCGCUCCCACCUGGGGUCUGCUCAUAGUCUGGGGGAGAGACAGAAAUGGAAGGACAGGAAUUUGAGUGCAGCUUUAAUCUGAUAAGGAAAUCACUACCAAGCAUCUCUUCUAUGUCAAGAACCGGACUAGAUACUGUGUUCCAUGGAUGAGUACGUGAAAACUGAGUGAUUCCACCAAGAUUAAUUACCGUUAACAGAGGGAGCCUGGAUUGGCAUGGCUUUAUUUUUCUGCUCCAGAGCCUAAAUGUUUUUCGUUUCUUCUUGGUUUUUCCUCCCCAACCCCCAGGCCGCCCCGGAAGGUGAGUCAAAUGAGGGAAACAAGGCUAGAUUCUCAUGAUAUUUUUCCUCUUUAUAAAACCAUGCUUGGGGAAAGUGGGGGAUGGAUAGGUAUGACUUAGUUCUGGCUUAAGCCCCACCUGAUCCUAUGCACAUGGUCCAGAGUUUGCAGGAACCAGGGAAACUGACAUAAGAGGUGGCCCAUGGAGUGGGCUGAGACUCUAGGAGACAGCAAGUCAUCAGUAAGUGACUGCGCCUGACUCUGCUAUGGGUGAGGAGUAGACAGAGUAAAGAACAGAGUAGGACUCAGGGAUGAGGUUUGAAACUCUUUGCCCAUCCUACUUAAAAACAGUACAAGCCGCAAGGUUGUUGUUGCUGUUGUUGUUAAAUUUCUGAAACGUACAAGCACGUAUGGGGACGGACACACACAC